ACGCUAGCGGCAGGCUUAACACAUGCAAGUCGAGGGGUAACAUUGUGCUUGCACAGAUGACGACCGGCGCACGGGUGCGUAACGCGUAUAGAACCUACCUUUUACAGAGGAAUAGCCUUUAGAAAUGAAGAUUAAUGCCUCAUGGUAUUGUAGACUGGCAUCAGUUUAUAAUUAAAGAUUUAUCGGUAAAAGAUGGCUAUGCGUCCUAUUAGUUAGUUGGUAAGGUAACGGCUUACCAAGACAGCGAUAGGUAGGGGUCCUGAGAGGGAGAUCCCCCACACUGGUACUGAGACACGGACCAGACUCCUACGGGAGGCAGCAGUGAGGAAUAUUGGACAAUGGAGGAGACUCUGAUCCAGCCAUGCCGCGUGUAGGAAGAAUGCCCUAUGGGUUGUAAACUACUUUUAUACAGGAAGAAACACUGGUAUGUAUACCAGCUUGACGGUACUGUAAGAAUAAGGACCGG
rnacentral:rRNA from 1 species